GCAGCAGCGAUAUGGCUGAUCAUCACCGGACGGGACGGUGCUGUUUAUAAGCGAAAGUAAAGGCAAAAAAUGCGUUAUUACAGGUCCAUGAUGCACUUGCUCAGGCAACGAGACAUUGCGACACGCUAUAUAACCCAGGGAUAAGAGUUACCUGACGGGUAAAGAGGCAAUCUGGUGUGUUUUAGGGGAAACUAGUUGGAGGAACUUGUCGCAGUGGAUUCAUCCCAGCGUGCUGCCUGGAUUACCAUACACAAGUGGAACAAUAGUCUCCUGCAGCAGAAACACUAGCAGGCCCGUGGGCCCCGGUGGUGCGGUUGAGAAGAUGGACAGGAUGAAGAUAAUCAAGCGGAGGCUGUCCAUGUCUCUACGCAGUGCUCGGCCCGUCGAUGACUCCCUGUCGGAGCUGGCAGAACAGAUGGCCUUGGAUGAGCCAGCCGCAGCAAGGGACAAUGGUGAGACACGUGAGCAAGUGCACCCACACACAGAGCCCAUGGUGGUGUGCGCCGUGCACCCUCCCGCCUCACACAGUGCUCCUUCCUUCCUGCGUCAAUAUGCUGGUCAUCUGGGCCGCACCGCCCUACGCAGAGAGCCGGGUGGGGGGCUGGAAAGAGACAGAGCCUACCUGAGCCUGCACAGGACUGGAUCUUUGGGCAUCGUUCAUGAAAAUGUGAAGAUGGGUUCAGAUGGGGAGAGUGACCAGGCAUCAGGGACCUCUUCUGAUGAGGUCCAGAGUCCAGUCAGGGUUCGUAUGAGGAACAACCACCACCGACGCAUCUCUAAUGAGGACAUAAACAAACGUUUGUCUCUCCCAGCUGACAUCAGGCUACCGGAGGGCUACUUGGAGAAGUUUGCCAUGAACAGCCCGCCCUUUGACAAGCCCAUGAGCCGCAGGCUACGGCGCGCUUCAUUGUCUGAAAUCGGCUUUGGGAAACUGGAGACCUACAUCAAACUGGACAAACUGGGGGAGGGGACAUAUGCUACAGUAUUUAAAGGGCGAAGCAAGUUAACAGACAACUUAGUGGCUCUGAAAGAGAUCAGACUGGAGCAUGAGGAGGGUGCGCCCUGCACAGCUAUCCGGGAAGUGUCUCUACUGAAAGACUUGAAGCACGCCAAUAUUGUCACUCUCCAUGACAUUAUCCACACUGACAAGUGCCUGACACUCGUGUUUGAGUACCUGGAGAAAGAUCUCAAGCAGUACAUGGAUGACUGUGGAAGCAUUAUGAGUGUCCACAAUGUCAAGAUAUUCCUAUUCCAGCUGUUACGAGGUCUGGCAUACUGCCACAGAAGAAAGGUCCUCCACAGAGACCUCAAACCCCAGAACCUCCUCAUCAAUGAAAAAGGAGAGCUCAAACUGGCAGAUUUUGGUUUGGCACGAGCCAAGUCUGUUCCUACAAAGACCUACUCCAAUGAAGUCGUGACAUUAUGGUACCGACCACCGGAUGUGCUUCUAGGCUCCACUGAGUACUCUACACCCAUUGAUAUGUGGGGUGUGGGCUGUAUCUUUUAUGAAAUGAUCACUGGCAGACCCCUCUUCCCCGGAUCGACUGUGGAGGACGAGCUACACCUCAUAUUUCGCAUCCUUGGUACUCCAACAGAGGAGACUUGGCCUGGUAUCACCACCAGUGAAGAGUUCAAGACGUACAAUUUCCCCCAAUACCACCCGGAGCCCCUUGUCAACCAUGCUCCCAGGAUAGACAACGAUGGUCACGACUUGCUUUCAGUGCUUCUACAGUUUGAGGCUAAGAAGAGAAUAUCAGCUGAGGAUGCUCUCAGACACUCAUAUUUCAGAAGUUUUGGGGAGCAGGUUCAAACACUGGCUGACACGGCAUCCAUCUUCUCUGUAAAAGGCAUUCAGCUCCAGAAAGAUCCAGGGAAGAGGUCCUCAGUCUACCCAGAGUCAACAAUGGCCCAUAGGCUAGGCUCUGCACCCUCGCAGUACUUCCAGAGAGAAGCAGCCAAUCCCAGGGCUCAGAGUCACAAUCUCUCCUCCACUUCCACUGGCUGAGUGGCCCCUACCGUUCUGUCCUGUUUAGGUUUCUGCAGCGAGAGAUGUAGCCUUUUUGUUGAGUCUCCCAGGGGAAGAGCAGGAGGCAGAGUGUGUUAUUUUAGUGCUGGCGGGGGCGCUGAGGUGAGGAGGACAGUGACACAUGGAGCUGUCCUGUCAGACAUACAUUCACUGACCCUGCCACACACACACUGAAGGAGCGACACACAAACUGAAGAAAAACACAAACACAUACAGCAACAUGGAAACAAAACCACACAGAAUUUAGAUUGAAGUAUUCGUACUUGACGAUAAAAAAUAAAGACUUAGCUCAACCCUAAAGACAGAAAAAUUUUAAUGAUGAGAGAAGUGUUGAGAUGCUGGAGGAAAAGUGGGAGAGUACAAGAUUCUCCUUGCUGCUACUACCGCUGCUGUCCAGAGGAGGGCAGCAUUCAGGACGUGGGCUUUUUUGAACAGAACUUACUGCAUCAGUGAGCAGUGAGGAAGAAGGAGUGAGACGUGAUUCAAAGGCAAAGAUAGAGAAAGAAAAAUCUGUCACUUUCUCUCCUGCGCUUUUCUUUUCUUUUUCUGUUCGGACUGUUGUUGUACAUAAAGAGACUGAGCUGUACAACUCUGCUUUUUCAUAACACGCCUCAGCCUGAGUCCAAACUCUGAAUAUUGCACCUCAACCCUAAACCCUCGCCUAACCUUAUGGCCCUUUAUUACACAAACAACACACACAUUUUCUCUUUCUCUCUGCUUUUCUGUUUCUCUCUUAAACACACACACACACACACACACACACACACACACACACACACACACACAUACAGAGUUCACUUGAAAAUUAAGAGUGUCUAGGAGUGGAGUUUACAGAGAUAAACUUUAGCACCUUAUUGUCCACUAGGGGUCAGGGUGGCUGUCAUUACCUCAUCAGUCACUUAAGCAGAGUAGGAUGUAAAGUACAUGCUAGAUAUUAGACUGAAGAAGAAUCAAAAUAACAAACCAAAAAAAAAGAGAAACUCACUAACCAUAUAGGACAGAUACCUUCACCGCUGGAAUUGGACACUAUAAAACACUCACAAAGCAGUAGGAGACAAUGAUCGCAUUCGUCACGUUGCUCACAUGCUGUAAAAGAACCACGCUGCUCCUGUUUCAGUACUCAACAAAGACAGAGAGGUAAAGCAAGUGUACAAAAACCUUAUGUGCUUAUUCUAAGACACCCCCUCUCCUCGUUUGCCUUGACUCAGAAGUUGUCUUGAUUUGUUGUGUGAUGUGUGGGUGUUCAAAAACUUUGCACCUGAUUUUACCUCUUUAGAGUAGACCAUUCAACAACCCCAACCCUCUCCUGCCCGCAACUCCACUUGCAUUUAUUUUUACUCUUUAUUUUUCAAUCUGUAUAUAUGAUCAUACUUUUUACUUGUCAGAAGCAAUGAUAAUUCCAGGAUGCUGUUUUCAGUCUUUACUGUGUUCCCAACCGGAACAGUGUGGCGACUGGCUGGGGACGUGUUGCACAUUCCUUGAGCUCAGGACUUAUUGCUAUAGUGUCAUUUUGUGGAUGCUGUGAGGAGCAGCUGGUCUUGUAUGUCCCCCCAGUAGAACAGAGUGUGUCGAUCAUGACCUGAAACCCCCUUUUUGUGAGCUGGUUCAAACUGUAUGUGAAGCAGAUGAAUUACUUAGCAUUGACCUGUCAGUCCUCGGUGUCACUUUGUUAAUUUGACCAUAACAUUGCUAUUCAGUGACUACCUUGCCCAUGUCAUCAGAUUCUUCAAGCAUGUUUGUGUAUUUAACACUCAGUUGGUAUGUGAAAUAGCUGUUGCUGGAAGAGGAGUAUCUCCAGUUGGUUUUAAAUUGUGCAUGGGACAUGAGCGAUUUUUCUUAACACCAAACACCACAUAAACCUGUAAAUGGCUCCUCAGUAGUCCCUUUUACACUGCCUGUUCAAGGUGGGAAUAUCGUGCUGUUCUGCAGUGUUGUUGUUCUGUAUAUAAGGUACAAAUGGGGGGGGGAGAAAGUUGUCUUGCCUUUAAUCUGCCACUGAAGAUAGUAACAGCACAGACAUGGUGUCUGUAUAAUCAGGACAGCCAGCAGGACAGGACCAUGGACAGGACAGGUGUGACAUUUUGAUUACAUGUUAUGUGUGUAACCUACAGUGGGAGAUUUAAAAGGCAAUUCGUAACAGUUAGUGGCUAACUCAAAGAUGAAGAACAGUGGCUCCAAAUGUUCGCAAAUUGGGAACACAGGAAGAUUCAGGAGCUCCCUACCCUCCGAGCAGAGGAUGAGAUCAGCCACCAUAUAACAGGGAGUUAAAUAAUUGUUGUUGCCAUGUUACUCCAUUGCGAUUGUGUAGAAAGAGUUAGAUUGAUAGAUAUAUUGAUUCUUUAUUGUCUGUCUCGAGGAAAAAAAAGAAAUUAAUCUUUAAAAACAGCUCAAUGAAGAAUUUAAACAUAAUUAAGAACCACGACCAGGCACACAGUGCGUAUGUAAUAGGGUCAACCUGACUCAGAAUUAUACCAGUUGAAACGGAUAUGGCAGUUCAAUACAAAUAUUUAGCCAUUCACUUUGUUUUUCUUAUGAAAUUUUAAGUUUGUAUGGGCUCAGAGGGACGUUCAAUUAUACAGCGGCAUUCACGUAAUGUAGUAAACAAGCUAAUGGUACGAAUGACAGGGGUCAUAAAUGUGCAACAGCAUUUUUUGCAGACACUAGAUAUAAAACAAAAGCCAGAGACUGUAUUGAAUUAAAUUUGCUGUGAGC